UGAGGAAUAUUGCACAAUGCCCGAAAGGGUGAUGCAGCGACGCCGCGUGAAGGAUGAAGGCCCUCUGGGUCGUAAACUUCUUUUGCAGAAGAAUAAUAGGUUGCUACAGGCAGCCCUGAAUGUAUUCUGUGAAUAAGCAUCGGCUAACUACGUGCCAGCAGCCGCGGUAAUACGUAGGAUGCGAGCGUUGUCCGGAAUCACUGGGUGUAAAGGGAGCGCAGGCGGGUCGGUAAGUCAAUGGUGAAAUUCUCAGGCUCAACUUGGGAACUGCCACUGAUACUGCUGAUCUUGGGUCUAGAAGAGGUUGAUGGAAUUCCUGGUGUAGCGGUGAAAUGCGUAGAUAUCAGGAAGAACACCGAUGGCGAAGGCAGUCAACUGGUCUAGUACCGACGCUCAUGCUCGAAAGCGUGGGGAUCAAACAGG
rnacentral:rRNA from 1 species